rnacentral:snRNA from 1 species
ACACUUAGCUAACAGGGGAGUACCAUGAUCACAAAGGUGAUUUUCACAGGGUGAGACUCGUCCAUUGCACUCCAGAUGUGGUGACCCCCAUGAUUCCCCCAAAUGUGGGAAAUUCGACUGCAUACUUUGUAGUAGUAAAGGACUGCAUUUGUGCUUUCCC